GUUCCUAAACCAGGGCAGCAAGGUUUCAUGGGAAGGAGGACUGAAUGGGUCUGUAUAUUCCGUUGUAGGUAUGAAGUACUGGGCCUGAGACUUGUGGGGCAACAAAUGGGUUUUGCUGGUUCUGCAGAGAAGAUAAUCCUACUGGGGUUCCCUUCUGCCUUAUUGGUAGCAUCCCCAGAAAUUGUCAGCCAGAGACAGUGCUGUGAAGUGAAACCCCUCAACCUUCCCAGCUGGCUCACUCUGUUUACCUGUGACCACACCAAGUGGCAGGCAAGGUGCCCAAAUGAACCCUGAAUGCGUUAUGUCAUACACUCUGAGGAGUACAGGUGGGAAAAUGUUGUGAUCUGAUAAAGCUA
rnacentral:lncRNA from 1 species